CCUACGGGUGGCAGCAGUCGAGAAUCAUUCACAAUGGGGGAAACCCUGAUGGUGCGACGCCGCGUGGGGGAAUGAAGGUCUUCGGAUUGUAAACCCCUGUCAUGUGGGAGCAAAUUAAAAAGAUAGUACCACAAGAGGAAGAGACGGCUAACUCUGUGCCAGCAGCCGCGGUAAUACAGAGGUCUCAAGCGUUGUUCGGAAUCACUGGGCGUAAGGCGUGCGUAGGCUGUUUCGUAAGUCGUGUGUGAAAGGCGCGGGCUCAACCCGCGGACGGCACAUGAUACUGCGAGACUAGAGUAAUGGAGGGGGAACCGGAAUUCUCGGUGUAGCAGUGAAAUGCGUAGAUAUCGAGAGGAACACUCGUGGCGAAGGCGGGUUCCUGGACAUUAACUGACGAUGAGGCACGAAGGCCAGGGGAGCGAAAGGGAUUAGAUACCCGAGUAGUC
rnacentral:rRNA from 1 species